rnacentral:rRNA from 1 species
GACGAACGCUGGCGGCGUGCUUAACACAUGCAAGUCGAACGGAAAGGCCCUGCUUUUGUGGGGUGCUCGAGUGGCGAACGGGUGAGUAACACGUGAGUAACCUGCCCUUGACUUUGGGAUAACUUCAGGAAACUGGGGCUAAUACCGGAUAGGAGCUCCUGCUGCAUGGUGGGGGUUGGAAAGUUUCGGCGGUUGGGGAUGGACUCGCGGCUUAUCAGCUUGUUGGUGGGGUAGUGGCUUACCAAGGCUUUGACGGGUAGCCGGCCUGAGAGGGUGACCGGCCACAUUGGGACUGAGAUACGGCCCAGACUCCUACGGGAGGCAGCAGUGGGGAAUAUUGCACAAUGGGCGGAAGCCUGAUGCAGCAACGCCGCGUGCGGGAUGACGACCUUCGGGUUGUAAACCGCUUUCGCCUGUGACGAGGCGUGAGUGACGGUAAUGGGUAAAGAAGCACCGGCUAACUACGUG